CCUACGGGAGGCAGCAGUGAGGAAUAUUGGUCAAUGGGCGCGAGCCUGAACCAGCCAAGUCGCGUGAGGGAAGACGGUCCUAUGGAUUGUAAACCUCUUUUGUCGGGGAGCAAAAGACGCCACGCGUGGCGUUCCGAGAGUACCCGAAGAAAAAGCAUCGGCUAACUCCGUGCCAGCAGCCGCGGUAAUACGGAGGAUGCGAGCGUUAUCCGGAUUUAUUGGGUUUAAAGGGUGCGCAGGCGGAGGUGCAAGUCAGCGGUCAAAUUGCGGGGCUCAACCCCGUACUGCCGUUGAAACUGCAUCCCUUGAGUGCGCGAGAAGUAUGCGGAAUGCGUGGUGUAGCGGUGAAAUGCAUAGAUAUCACGCAGAACUCCGAUUGCGAAGGCAGCAUACCGGCGCGCAACUGACGCUCAUGCACGAAAGCGUGGGUAUCGAACAGGAUUAGAUACCCCAGUAGUC
rnacentral:rRNA from 1 species